GAGCCCGUAGCUCAGUUGGUAGAGCACGAGACUUUUAAUCUUGGGGUCCAGGGUUCGAAUCCCUGCGGGCUCA
rnacentral:tRNA from 1 species